rnacentral:lncRNA from 1 species
AGUACACAGAGGCACAUAUCCCCAACCUCAAGGCAACAUAAGAACGAGAGUCUCAGAAGUACAUUAUAGAUUAUAAUAAAUUUUUCAUUUAGGAGACAAAAAAAUUCUAUUUUCUCAUACAAAAAUAUUAAAUGAGAAACUUAAAAAUAUUGGAGAACACUGCUGCUGGGAAACACAAGAGAAACAGUCAUUAAUGGUGGGUAUUUGUAUACACAAAGACUUUGCUCAAGAAGUAUCUGGAGGAAUGACAGAUUGAAGGUAUUUUUUCUUUGGAGGUAUAUUUUUUUUCUUCAGAGGUAUAUAUUAUUCAGAGGUAUGUAUUUUUCUUUGGAGGUAUAUAUUUUUUCUUUGAAGGUAUAUAUAUUUUUUUCUUCAGAGCCAAAUUAAAGUUGGGGCUACUCAUCAGGCAGGUCCUAAGGGGAGACUUCAAUUUGUAUUUUUUUAAAAAAAGGGAAGGAAAGAAAGAAAGGGUAGGAAAAAAACAGUAUGUGAAGGAAGUGGAGCAUCACUGGGUGAUUCAGCAUGGCUGGAAUCACUGGGCAAGGAAGUAGUAACAAGAGACAAAGCUCGAGAGGCAAAUACAUGCAUAAUAAUGAAGGGCCUUGUAUUAGAAUUGAGAAAUUUCUACUUUAUCCUGGAGGCAAUGAGGAUCCACUGAAGAUAGGUAUGUUGAAGCUGUGACCUCAACAGACUUAUACUUUAAAAGCUUACUCUGGAGACUUCAAGUUCUGGGAAGAAGGAAUAGAUAUAUUUCCCAUUCUUCCCAUUUUAAGUAUAACUUAAAACCCUAAGACAUUAUACAUAAAACAAACAUAAGACGACUCCGAAAUGUGAAGAAAAAAACUUCCUCAGGACACUGGGACCUGAUAAACAACAUAACGGUGGUACCAUCACCUUAUGUAAGGGGACAGGAGAACGGGAGUCAGUUGUUGACACAGCACAUGAGGAGACUGCUACAAGCAUUUAACAUCUGGAAACUCAGAAUGUUCAAUAUCUCAGAGUGUGAAACUCUCUCUCAUGUGAAAAAAUUACCUCACCCCAAAUGCUUGUGGUUCACCAAUUAAGAAAUUCAACCCUCUCCCUCUCCCUCUCCCUCUCCCCACGGUCUUCCUCUCCCUCUCUUUCCACGGUCUCCCUCUGAUGCCGAGCCAAAGCUGGAGAGUACUGCUACCAUCUCGGCUCACUGCAACCUCCCUGCCUGAUUCUCCUGCCUCAGCCUGCCGAGUGCCUCAGGCGCGCCGCCACACCUGACUGGUUUUCGUAUUUUUUUGGUGGAGACGGGGUUUCGCUGUGUUGGCCGGGCUGGUCUCCAGCUCCUAACCGCGAGUGAUCCGCCAGCCUCGGCCUCCCGA